GAUGAACGCUGGCGGCGUGCCUAAUACAUGCAAGUCGAGCGAACGGACGAGAAGCUUGCUUCUCUGAUGUUAGCGGCGGACGGGUGAGUAACACGUGGAUAACCUACCCAUAAGACUGGGAUAACUUCGGGAAACCGGAGCUAAUACCGGAUGAUAUUUUGAACCGCAUGGUUCAAAAGUGAAAGACGGUCUUGCUGUCACUUAUAGAUGGAUCCGCGCUGCAUUAGCUAGUUGGUAAGGUAACGGCUUACCAAGGCAACGAUGCAUAGCCGACCUGAGAGGGUGAUCGGCCACACUGGAACUGAGACACGGUCCAGACUCCUACGGGAGGCAGCAGUAGGGAAUCUUCCGCAAUGGGCGAAAGCCUGACGGAGCAACGCCGCGUGAGUGAUGAAGGUCUUCGGGUCGUAAAACUCUGUUAGUAGGGAAGAAAAUAAGUGUAAGUAACUGUGCACAUCUUGACGGUACCUAAUCAGAAAGCCACGGCUAACUACGUG
rnacentral:rRNA from 1 species